CAUAUGCUUGUCUCAAAGAUUAAGCCAUGCAUGUCUCAGUACAAGCCUCAUUAAGGUGAAACCGCGAAAGGCUCAUUAAAUCAGUUAUGGUUCCUUAGAUCGUACCCACAUUUACUUGGAUAACUGUGGUAAUUCUAGAGCUAAUACAUGCAAACAGGGUCCCGACCGGAGACGGGAGGGAUGCUUUUAUUAGAUCAAAACCAAUCGGCGGCGGGCGCGUUCGCGCGUGCCCGUUCGCCGCUCAACUUGGUGACUCUGAAUAACUUUCGGCUGAUCGCACGGUCUCGCACCGGCGACGCAUCUUUCAAAUGUCUGCCUUAUCAACUGUCGAUGGUAGGUUCUGCGCCUACCAUGGUCGUAACGGGUAACGGGGAAUCAGGGUUCGAUUCCGGAGAGGGAGCCUGAGAAACGGCUACCACAUCCAAGGAAGGCAGCAGGCGCGCAAAUUACCCACUCCCGGCACGGGGAGGUAGUGACGAAAAAUAACGAUACGGGACUCAUCCGAGGCCCCGUAAUCGGAAUGAGUACACUUUAAAUCCUUUAACCAGGAUCAAUUGGAGGGCAAGUCUGGUGCCAGCAGCCGCGGUAAUUCCAGCUCCAAUA
rnacentral:rRNA from 1 species